rfam:Tupaia chinensis contig64069, whole genome shotgun sequence.
CUGCAUCUACUGAUACGUCUUGAACAAUCUGCUGAUGUUCUUAUGGUUUGCACUAGCAUGCAAGAGAAAAAAUUCCCUGCAGUUUCUGUCUGUCUUUGUGGCAAUCCAGAUUGAAUUGGAGAAUACAUCU